UACGAAGGGGGCUAGCGUUGCUCGGAAUCACUGGGCGUAAAGGGUGCGUAGGCGGGUUUUUAAGUCAGAGGUGAAAUCCUGGAGCUCAACUCCAGAACUGCCUUUGAUACUGAGAAUCUUGAGUAUGGGAGAGGUGAGUGGAACUGCGAGUGUAGAGGUGAAAUUCGUAGAUAUUUGCAAGAACACCAGUGGCGAAGGCGGCUCACUGGCCCAUAACUGACGCUGAGGCACGAAAGCGUGGGGAGCAAACAGG
rnacentral:rRNA from 1 species